UACGUAGGUGGCAAGCGUUGUCCGGAAUUAUUGGGCGUAAAGCGCGUGUAGGCGGGUCGUUAAGUGUCCGCGUGAAAUCCCACGGCUCAACCGUGGAACUGCUGGGCAUACUGGGAGUCUUGGGCCAUUCAGGGGCAACUGGAACAAGCGGUGGAGCGGUGAAAUGCGUAGAUAUCGCUUGGAACGCCGAAGGUGAAAACAGGUUGCUGGGGAUGUGCCGACGCUGAGACGCGAAAGCCAGGGGAGCAAACGGG
rnacentral:rRNA from 1 species